GACGAACGCUGGCGGCGUGCCUAACACAUGCAAGUCGAACGGAAGUAAGUGCUUCGGUAUUUACUUUAGUGGCGAACGGGUGAGUAACGCGUGAGGAACCUGCCUUUCAGUGGGGGACAACAGUUGGAAACGACUGCUAAUACCGCAUAAGCCCACAGGUCGGCAUCGACCAGAGGGAAAAGGAGCAAUCCGCUUUGAGAUGGCCUCGCGUCCGAUUAGCUAGUUGGUGAGGUAACGGCCCACCAAGGCGACGAUCGGUAGCCGGACUGAGAGGUUGAACGGCCACAUUGGGACUGAGACACGGCCCAG
rnacentral:rRNA from 1 species